rnacentral:misc_RNA from 1 species
GUGAAGAACGUAGCGAAAUGCGAUAAGUAAUGUGAAUUGCAGAAUUCAGUGAAUCAUCGAAUCUUUGAACGCACAUUGCGCCCUCUGGUAUUCCGGGGGGCAUGCCUGUUCGAGCGUCAUUAUAACCACUCAAGCUCUCGCUUGGUAUUGGGGUUCGCGGUUUCGCGGCCCCUAAAAUCAGUGGCGGUGCCUGUCGGCUCUACGCGUAGUAAUACUUCUCGCGAUUGAGUUCGAUAGGUCUACUUGCCAGUAACCCCCAAUUUUUACAGGUUGACCUCGGAUCAGGUAGGGAUACCCGCUGAACUUAAGCAUAUCAAUAAGCGGAGGA